UGCCAGUCGAAACUGUUAGAAUUGAGUACAGAAGAGGAGAACGGGAUUCCUGGAGGAGCGGUGAAAUGCGUAGAUUUCAGGGAGAACACCGAUGGCGAAGGCAGUUCUCUGGUCUGUAACUGACGCUGAGGUACGAGAGCGUGGGUAGCGAACGGGAUUAGAUACCCCGGUAGUCCACGCUGUAAACGAUGGACACUAGAUGUCGGGCAUAAGCUCGAUAUUGCAGCUAACGCGUUAAGUGUCUCGCCUGGGGAGUACGGCCGCAAGGCUAAAACUCAAAGGAAUUGACGGGGGCCUACACAAGCGGUGGAGCAUGUGGUUUAAUUCGAUGCAACGCGAAGAACCUUACCUGGACUUGACAUUUCAAUGCCCUCUAUGGAAACAUAGUUUUUCCAUUUAUUUGGAACAUUGAAACAGGUGCUGCAUGGCUGUCGUCAGCUCGUGUUGUGAGAUGUUGGGUUAAGUCCCGCAACGAGCGCAACCCUUACCCUUAGUUGCCAGCGGAUAAUGCCGGGGACUCUAGGGGAACUGCCCAGAACAACUGGGAGGAAGGUGAGGACGACGUCAAGUCAUCAUGGCCCUUAUGUCCAGGGCUACACACGUGCUACAAUGGCCGGUACAAAGGGCAGCGAACUCGCGAGAGUAAGCGAAUCCCUUAAAACCGGUCUCAGUUCGGAUUGCAGGCUGCAAUUCGCCUGCAUGAAGGUGGAAUCGCUAGUAAUCGUGG
rnacentral:rRNA from 1 species